rnacentral:lncRNA from 1 species
AGACUAAUUGAAUUACAUUUAGACACUUUGACUCAUUGUCGACAGGUUGUGUCGCUUCAGCAUAGCGAAACAAUCAUGAGUAUAGUGUCAUAAUGUGCACAAUAGAGGUUAGCAUGGCUCUUUGAGGGAUUAGAGAUGCUGAACCUAAUGUAAUUAAAUGGUGUAGGGCAUCACGAGUCUAAUAUUCUCUUUUGAGGGUUGAUAUCUCUAUACUCGCCGUAUGCGGUUUCUAAUAUAGAGCUCCCAAAAUACAGGUUGACUCGGCGGUCGCACUGUUCAUUUUCCUGUAUGAAUAGAAUUAAUAGUGGUGUGAUGUUGAGGAAGUGGUUACGAUGGUAUCGAUCCCGCUAUGUGCGAGUGGGAGAUGUUGGCAUUCGGUUAAAUCGAAUCGGGUGCGCCUAUGAUCGGGUUCGAUUCGACGGUUAUAAUGUUGUCUAAUUGGAUUAGGAUUAAUCUCGCUUUUAAAUUAGAAAGCUAUUUGAGAUAAAUUCUAAUCAUAUUUGAAUAAUAAUUAAUAACCGAUUUGGCCUUAUCUCUUACGCAUCUAUUAGGAAUUUAAAAUUCCUUAUAAAUAUAUGGGCGAUCUCACAUAAAAUAGAUAAGAACGUAAGAACAAGAAAACAAAAACAAGAAAACAAAAAAUUAUAUAGUAUAA